rnacentral:snRNA from 1 species
CGUCCGCGUGUUCAGCCCAUAGCAAACUAUUCUUUCGCCUUUUACUAAAGAGCACCGUGUGCACGUCUUAGUGAAGGCACGGGGACACAUUCCUUUGUUUGACUUGGUGAUCACCGG